GCGCAGGAAGCAAGUUGAUCCCCUUCGGGGGUGACGCUUGUGGAAUGAGCGGCGGACGGGUGAGUAACACGUGGGCAACCUGCCUGUAAGACUGGGAUAACCCCGGGAAACCGGGGCUAAUACCGGAUAAUACUUUCUUUUGCAUAAAGGAAAGUUGAAAGGCGGCUUCGGCUGUCACUUACAGAUGGGCCCGCGGCGCAUUAGCUAGUUGGUGAGGUAACGGCUCACCAAGGCGACGAUGCGUAGCCGACCUGAGAGGGUGAUCGGCCACACUGGGACUGAGACACGGCCCAGACUCCUACGGGAGGCAGCAGUAGGGAAUCUUCCGCAAUGGACGAAAGUCUGACGGAGCAACGCCGCGUGAGUGAUGAAGGUUUUCGGAUCGUAAAACUCUGUUGUUAGGGAAGAACAAGUACGAUAGUAACUGAUCGUACCUUGACGGUACCUAACCAGAAAGCCACGGCUAACUACGUGCCAGCAGCCGCGGUAAUACGUAGGUGGCAAGCGUUGUCCGGAAUUAUUGGGCGUAAAGCGCUCGCAGGCGGUCCUUUAAGUCUGAUGUGAAAUCUCGCGGCUCAACCGCGAACGGUCAUUGGAAACUGGAGGACUUGAGUACAGAAGAGGAGAGUGGAAUUCCACGUGUAGCGGUGAAAUGCGUAGAGAUGUGGAGGAACACCAGUGGCGAAGGCGACUCUCUGGUCUGUAACUGACGCUGAGGAGCGAAAGCGUGGGGAGCGAACAGGAUUAGAUACCCUGGUAGUCCACGCCGUAAACGAUGAGUGCUAGGUGUUAGGGGGUUU
rnacentral:rRNA from 1 species